rnacentral:rRNA from 1 species
GACGAACGCUGGCGGCGUGCUUAACACAUGCAAGUCGAACGGAAAGGCCUUUUCGGAGGUACUCGAGUGGCGAACGGGUGAGUAACACGUGGGUGAUCUGCCCUGCACUCUGGGAUAAGCCUGGGAACCUGGGUCUAAUACCGGAUAGGACCGCACUUUAGUGUGUGUGGUGGAAAGUUUUUUCGGUGUAGGAUGAGCCCGCGGCCUAUCAGCUUGUUGGUGGGGUAAUGGCCUACCAAGGCGGCGACGGGUAGCCGGACUGAGAGGUUGGUCGGCCACAUUGGGACUGAGAUACGGCCCAGACUCCUACGGGAGGCAGCAGUGGGGAAUAUUGCACAAUGGGCGCAAGCCUGAUGCAGCGACGCCGCGUGGGGGAUGACGGCCUUCGGGUUGUAAACUCCUUUCGCCAGGGACGAAGCGUUUUGUGACGGUACCUGGAGAAGAAGCACCGGCUAACUACGUG